GUCGAACACAUGUAUUUGCGGGCGCGCGCCUCCGUCCUCGUGAGUUCAAAGUGGAUUUUAACCGUUUACCUCAGACGACAGUUUUCAUUUCUAUGGCAAAUUCUAAGGUCAUCUUCUUGUUGUGUUUUGAUGUUUUCCAUUGGCUGAAGAGCAGAUUACCAUGAAAUUUGAAGAAGUGUGAUAAAAUAUACAGAGGUGAAGUCAUGUGUCUUUCCAGAUGCCCAAAUCUGUACCACUCAAAAAGUAAUGAAGUGACAGUGUACCAUGACAAAAAAUCUAAGAUGAGCCUGAAGAGGAGAUUUGGGAAGAUGCUGUUUUAUAAGUCUUUGCUUUGCUAGAUCACCUGUGGAUGCCUUGUUGGUCUGGGCGAGUUUGAAGUCUCUCACAGACAGUCCAGAAGGUCUGGAGUCCAUCUUAGCUUUUAUUGAUGCUGUCAUCAGGUUUUAAGUACAGUAUGAGCCAGAAUGGAAGGGUGUUGGUGGCCAUAAGAAGACUGUGAGCUAAACCUACAACAAAAUUCAUAUUUGCAGUUUUCCUAGAAUAUUUUUUUUCUAUUCAGAUGAAUAAAAUGACUUUAAAAUAUUAUUUUGUUUUCAUAUUUUAUGUUUUUAUUCUGUAUUUGGAAUAUUCCACUUCUGCACUACUAACUGGAAACCUAACUGUUUGAAAGAAUUUGUUUUUAUCUAUAAAAUAUCAAUUUUAA